rnacentral:lncRNA from 1 species
CUCCUCAUGAAAAAUAAUUACAUCUGGUUUAGAGUUAAAGCUAAGGAGGCACUGAGAAGCAGUUAGUUAAGGAAUUCAUUUACAAAUUAUAAUAGCCGUUGGGUAAAAAAUAUUAUAAUUGAGAUGGCUUGAGAAUAAAACAUCGCCGUAAUUUUUUUUUAUUUACCUUUAUUGAUUUCAAAGGUGUCAACCCAGGAUUAGCUCGUUAGCUAAAUUAUUAGCUGAAUGGUGGCUAAUGCGGACUGUCUCACCACAGCCACGUUGAGUGUUUGCGGGUUAAACAGUCAGAACGUGGCCUCUUCUUAAAAUACCUCUCCUCUGAAAACCUCUCACGUGCUCGCACGAACACAAGUAGACGAGCAGGAGCACGUUCAGACAGACAGGCGAUCGGUUCAAAACCAAGCCACGUGCUGCCUCUCAUCGCUCAGCCUGUGUGCGACUACGCUUUGCCAACUCGCGCAGGCUGCAGCCCAAACAUGUGACGCUCAACUCUGAGGGGGUAUGGAUCGGUUCCUGAAAGCCAUCCUGAUGGACGUGAGGAGCUGUGACGCUGAGGAACAGUGCAGGACAAACACAGUAGGCAGGGGCUGCAGGGAGCAGGAGCCUGUCCUUGCGGUCAUUUGGGGAAGGUCCAUCACAUCACCUAUGAGGCGCUUAAGUUCCUGACUGUGACGUUCUGUCGUAAUCCACAUACAGUCUAAGCCACUAGAUCUAUAAAAAUUCAUUGUACUGUAUAUUGCUUUCUGAAUAAAACAGAGAUUGACUGAGGUAAAGGUUUGAUU